AAUUAAAAAUUAUCAAAAACAAAUAAAGUUUUAGAAACAUUUCUUGAAUGUUUUGAAAGGUGUUAGGAGCUAAAAUUUAUUAUAUAUCUAUCUACAAUGUCACUUAUUAUAUAUUUUGAUAAAAACUAAUCUUUGGAACAUUUCUGCUUCUUCUAUGUUUUCUAAUUGUUUAUUAUAAAAAAAAUUAAAAAUAUACUUUAAAAAUAUUAUGUAUUCAUAAAUUAAGUAUAUUAAC
rnacentral:lncRNA from 1 species